AGUCACACAGCUACUCCUAUCUGUAUGGGAGCCAGGGAAUAUAGUCUCUCUACGUGGCCAGGAAAAAAAAAGAAAGAAGGUUGGGGCCAGUCACCCCCACAUCCCUUUAUGGAGGCUUCCAGAUCAUGGAUCCUGUCACGCGCAUCCCGGUGAAGAGAGUCCACCAACAGGCUUUGUAAACUGCAAAACAAGGAAAUUGUGUAGAUAGCAAGGUCAGAGAAGUGACUGAAAAAUGUGGCUGUAGAAUAUAAAAGAGUAAGUAAUUCAAUACAUUCUCUGAGUCAUAAAGUAGAAGUAGAAAGAAACCUCAAGAGGUCAUUUGGUUG
rnacentral:lncRNA from 1 species